ensembl:snoRNA SNORA74 Small nucleolar RNA SNORA74
CCCAGCUGUAGGCAACCGACUAGGCUGUCCUGUACCUAGGCAAGUGGUACACUGCUGGGAGAAAAGCAGCCAGGAGCUGGCGGGCAUUCUGGGCCUGCUUCAUGCCAAAUU